UACGUAGGGUGCGAGCGUUGUCCGGAAUUAUUGGGCGUAAAGGGCUCGUAGGCGGCCAACUAAGUCAGACGUGAAAUCCCUCGGCUUAACCGGGGAACUGCGUCUGAUACUGGAUGGCUUGAGUGUGGGAGAGGGAUGCGGAAUUCCAGGUGUAGCGGUGAAAUGCGUAGAUAUCUGGAGGAAAACCGGUGGGGAAGGCGGCAUCCUGGACCAUUACUGACGCUGAGUGAGCGAAAGCCAGGGGAGCAAACGGG
rnacentral:rRNA from 1 species